AUCAGUGUUGGUACUGCCAUGAGAACUCUCCAGAACCACCAUCUGCCAUGAAUCACCAUUUGAUGAGACAGACCCAUUGGGUCCCAUCCCUCAUUUGCCUAAACAGGAAAGUCAUCUAGAAUCUGGUCUCUAGGUGGCCUUGUGUAUUGGUGAGGAUUGUGCACUGAAGCAAUUUGUACAGAGCACUGCAAGUCCUGUGUACUAGGGGACUGUGGACCUCUAAGCAGCUGUCUGAACGGUGUUUCCUGUUUACCAGGGUAGGAAAGAAGCUGAAUGCAGGGUUAGGCUGAGCUGCUCUCCUUGGUCAGGGUGGAGGCAGUGUCUUGUGAGUGAGUGUAGACUGGUUUGACUAGGGUUCUGAGGAGGGGUCACUGUUGCUUUCCUCUACAGUUGCUGGUGUGGCAGCAGCUGCUUGCUGCACAGGCACAGGAAGGAGAGUAUGUCUUGGCACUACCUUCUCUGCCAUGUGACCCUGUGGGGGAUAUUCAUCUGUGGGGCUGUUUGGAAAGUGGCUUUGUUGGAGGUGGGAAUGCUAGGACAGGAGUUCUGGCCCAGAACCAUGGGUCUAAAUUAAGUUUUGGGGUUUUGUGACUUGGCUCUCCGGCUUGUGUACUAAAGACCUCUAAAAAGGUUUAGUGUCCCAUUCUUUUUAUUCUCUUUCUCUGAUGUUCCUGCUGGUGAACUCUGACUGGUUUAUAGAAUACUUACCAACAACAUCCAUCUGCAGUGGGUGCACAGCGUGGUUGUCUCAUUGUGAUGGGCAAGAGAGAUGAUGACAGGCAUUUGCCUGAUGUCUGGGAAGAGUCUGCUUUCAGGAACCAAGCACCAGAAGAGUCCUCUUCCCCCUUUCUCAGGCUGCGGACUGGCUGGCUGCUAUUUAGCUUGUCCCUGUGUCAGCACUGUGUCUUCUGUUUACUCAGUGAGUUGAGCCCUGUUUGAGGUGUAAGAACCUAUUCUACAGAAGAAGCAGGCCCUCACUCAGCCCUGAGUGCCACCUUCAUGGCUGUUAGAGUGCUUGGGGUUAGUUCUCAUCUGGAGUGCCCCAGAUGAGAUGUCUUUUAGAGGGACACUGGCAUGUCUAAAGUUUCUUGCUGUCUGUGUGAGCAUCUUCCAGACGCUACAUUUUGAGUAAGGCUGAUCUGAUCUCUAGUCUCAGGGUUUGGAGUUAGGAGUCUGUCCCUGGGUUAGGAGUUAGGAGUUAGGAGUCUGUCCCUGGGUUAGGAGUUAGGAGUUUGUCCCUGGGUUAGGAGUUAGGAGUUAGGAGUCUGUCCCUGGGUUAGGAGUUAGGAGUUAGGAGUCUGUCCCUGGGUUAGGAGUUAGGAGUUAGGAGUCUGUCCCUGGGUUAGAAGCAGAACAGAGAGGAAAGGAGACGGAAAGGGAACACUAAUUAGCCUUCCCAGAGUUCCUGCCUCAUCAUACAAACUUUGAUUUUACAAAUUUAGUCUUUAUCAUCUGCCUCAGAUUUAAGAGAGGCGGCAAGUACAUUUCAACUCCUACAAAGCCAAAAUAGAAGAUUGAAAUGAUGGGACAGAUCAGGGUUGGUGUCCCCAGUGGAUGUUUGGGUAGUGGGUACCCCUAACUUGUUUUGACGAUCCAGAAAGGAAAUAGCUCAUCUUUGCAAUUUCAGAUCUUUUUUUUUCCUGGACUAUAGCUGUGGAGAACACAUGCCUACACUGUGGGGUUUGCUACAGACUCAGGAAAUAGUAUCUUAGCUCAUCUUUGCAUAUACUAUGAGACCUAUACCCCACAGAUACUCAUCCUGCAAGGCCAGUUUUGAGCUGGGAAAUAACUGCUUGGAUUCUUUCCCCGGUGGCCUUUAUCUUCAGAAAAACUCUUAGAGGUUUGAGUUUGCCCUUCGAGCAGAGCCCUGGCAGGCAGCUGUGCCAUCUCCCCCCAUGGCUGUCUUUCACAGGACCCCUGUCAAUAGCACCAGGCUCACAGACAGGUACUUAUCAGUAAGGCCCUUAUCUUGUGAAGUGAGAAGAAUUCAGUUUUCCAGCUUGGGAAACUGAAUCUGAAAGAGUGAGGGACUACCAGAACCUCACAGCUGGAAUUGAAGGGCCUGUAGUUCUUGGUUCUUCCUGCCAGGCCUGGCAGCUUCAGGAAUGUCUGACCAGGGCAGAUUUUCUGAGAGCAUAGGAGUAGGAAGGUCUCCACUAGGGGUGCUGAGGAGCACAGACCACCAGGAUUCUCCUGGUGUACUAGACUGUCUGGCCUUAGAGCUACCAUGUGAUGUUAGUCCCUGGCAUAGGUGUAGGUGGCUCCUCAUUAUUUAAAUCUUUUUGAGAAGAGCCUAUCAUGGUAGCUCACACCUAGUGAUGUCAGCACUCUCGAGGCAGAAUUUGGAGAACUGCAAGAUCCAGGGCUAUCUAUCUAAAAAAAAAAAGAC
rnacentral:lncRNA from 1 species